AACGAACGCUGGCGGCAGGCCUAACACAUGCAAGUCGAACGCUCCGCAAGGAGAGUGGCAGACGGGUGAGUAACACGUGGGAAUCUUCCUAUCGGUACGGAAUAGCUCAGGGAAACUUGAGGUAAUACCGCAUACGCCCUUCGGGGGAAAGAUUUAUCGCCGAUAGAUGAGCCCGCGUCUGAUUAGCUAGUUGGUGGGGUAAUGGCCUACCAAGGCGACGAUCAGUAGCUGGUCUGAGAGGAUGACCAGCCACACUGGGACUGGGACACGGCCCAGACUCCUACGGGAGGCACCAGUGGGGAAUAUUGGACAAUGGGCGCAAGCCUGAUCCAGCCAUGCCGCGUGAGUGACGAAGGUCUUCGGAUUGUAAAGCUCUUUUGCCAGGGACGAUAAUGACGGUACCUGGAGAAUAAGCCCCGGCUAACUUCGUGCCAGCCGCCGCCGUAAGAC
rnacentral:rRNA from 1 species